rnacentral:rRNA from 1 species
UGAACGCUAGCGGGAGGCUUAACACAUGCAAGCCGAGGGGUAUAUAUUUUUCGGAAUAUAGAGACCGGCGAACGGGUGCGUAACGCGUAUGCAACUUACCUUUAUCAAUAGGAUAGCUUUCGGAAACGGAAAUUAAUACUGUAUAAUACUAUGAUAGGCAUCUAUUGUAGUUAAAAGAUUUAUUGGAUAGAGAUGGGCAUGCGUCAGAUUAGUUAGUUGGUAAGGUAACGGCUUACCAAGGCGAUGAUCUGUAGGGGUUCUGAGAGGAUUAUCCCCCACACUGGUACUGAGACACGGACCAGACUCCUACGGGAGGCAGCAGUGAGGAAUAUUGGACAAUGGGUGAGAGCCUGAUCCAGCCAUCCCGCGUGUAGGAAGACGGCCUUAUGGGUUGUAAACUACUUUUAUACAGGAAUAAAUGCAGGUACGUGUACUUGUUUGAAUGUACUGUAAGAAUAAGCACCGGCUAACUCC